GAAGCUCUCUCCAGCCAGGGGAUAAGAGAGGCCUGGGGGAAAGCAGCCCAUCCUUGGGGCCUCAGGGAGCAGAUCUGGGGGCACCUCCACCAUGGCCUGGACCCCUCUCCUCCUCACCCUCCUGGCUCACUGCACAGGUUCUGUGGCCUCCUAUGAGGUGACCCAGCCACGCUCAGUGUCAGUGGCCCUGGGACAGACAGCCAGGCUCACCUGUGGGGGAGACAAUAUUGGAAAUAAAGCUGUUCACUGGUACCAGCAGAUGCCAGGCCAGACCCCUGUGCUGCUCAUCUAUACUGAUAAAAACCGGCCCUCGGGGAUCCCUGAUGGAUUCUCUGGCUCCAAGUCAGGAAACAUGGCCACCCUGACCAUCAGUGGGGUCCAGGCCGGGGACGAGGCUGACUAUUACUGUCAGGCAGCAGACAGUGGUGCUGCCCACAGUGACACAGGCAGAUGGGGAAGUGAGACAAAAACCUUUUCCCCUGUCUCAGUCUCUCUCUCCCUCAAGCCCCAGGAAGGCUUAGCACAAAACAAUGGGCUGGCCUGGCCCUGCUCACCCAGACCUGAGCCUCCAGGCUGCCCUGGCUGCCAAAGGUUACCUCCCUGA